rnacentral:tRNA from 1 species
GGUGUUGUGGUCUAGUGGAUAAGUCUACUGGCUUUGAACCACAAGGUACGGGAUUCAAAUCCCUGCCAUAUCU